UGAAUACGAGACGCUAAGGCGUCGAAGUAGUGUAUGUCAUACUUCCAAGAAAAGCUUGCACUGUCAUAGAUAAAAAACGCCUGUACCAUAACCGACACAGGUGGGUAGGUAGAGUAUACUAAGGGGCGCGAGAUAACUCUCUCUAAGGAACUCGGCAAAAUAACUCCGUAACUUCGGGAGAAGGAGUGCCUUAUUCGUAAGGUUGCAAUAACAAGAUCCAAGCAGCUGUUUAUCAAAAACACAGGUCUCCGCUAAGUCGUAAGACGAUGUAUGGGGGCUGACGCCUGCCCAGUGCCAGAAGGUUAAAGAAGUUGGUUAGCAAUUGCGAAGCUGAUAACUGAAGCCCUGGUGAACGGCGGCCGUAACUAUAACGGUCCUAAGGUAGCGAAAUUCCUUGUCGGGUAAGUUCCGACCCGCACGAAAGGCGUAAUGAUUUGGAUACUGUCUCGGAGAGGGGCUCGGUGAAAUAGACUUGUCUGUGAAGAUGCGGACUACCUGCACCAGGACAGAAAGACCCUAUGAAGCUUUACUGUAACUUGAAAUUGAAAUUGGACUUUAUUCGCGCAGCAUAGGUGGGAGGCGUUGAUUAUAAUCUUGCGGGAUUAUUGGAGCCAUCAGUGAGAUACCACUCUUGUAAUGUUAGAUUUCUAACUUUGAAUCAUUAUCUGGUCAAAGAACAGUUUCAGGCGGGCAGUUUGACUGGGGCGGUCGCCUCCUAAACGGUAACGGAGGCGUACAAAGGUUUCCUCUGAACGGUUAGAAAUCGUAUCUAGAGUGUAAAGGCAUAAGGAAGCUUGAUUGUGAGACCUACAAGUCGAGCAGGGACGAAAGUCGGUCUUAGUGAUCUGACGGUACUGAGUGGAAAGGCCGUCACUCAACGGAUAAAAGUUACUCUAGGAUAACAGGCUGAUCUCCCCCAAGAGUUCACAUCGACGGGGAGGUUUGGCACCUCGAUGUCGGCUCAUCGCAUCCUGGGGCGGUAGUACGUCCCAAGGGUUGGGCUGUUCGCCCAUGAAAGCGGUACGCGAGCUGGGUUCAGAACGUCGUGAGACAGUUCGGUCCAUAUCCGGUGUAGGCGUUAGAAUAUUGAGAGGAGCCUUCUUUAGUACGAGAGGACCGAGAAGGACAUACCUCUGGUGUACCAGUUAUCGUGCCAACGGUAAACGCUGGGUAGCUAUGUAUGGAGUGGAUAACCGCUGAAAGCAUCUAAGUGGGAAGCCCACCUCAAGAUAAGUAUUCUC
rnacentral:rRNA from 1 species